GUUUAAUUAGUAUAAUUAGUACAUUUAAUUUCCAAUUAAAAAGAUUUUUUUAAAUUAAACA
rnacentral:tRNA from 1 species